GAUGAACGCUAGCGGCAGGCCUAACACAUGCAAGUCGAGGGGUAGCAGGAUUAAGCUUGCUUAAUUGCUGACGACCGGCGCACGGGUGCGUAACGCGUAUGCAACCUACCUUAUACUGGGGUAUAGCCCGGAGAAAUUCGGAUUGAUCCCCCAUAGUACUAAUGAAUCGCAUGGUUUAUUAGUUAAAGCAUUGCGGUAUAAGAUGGGCAUGCGUCCUAUUAGCUAGAUGGUGAGGUAACGGCUCACCAUGGCUACGAUAGGUAGGGGGCCUGAGAGGGUGGUCCCUCACACUGGUACUGAGACACGGACCAGACUCCUACGGGAGGCAGCAGUGAGGAAUAUUGGUCAAUGGGCGCAAGCCUGAACCAGCCAUGCCGCGUGCAGGAAGAAUGCCCUAUGGGUUGUAAACUGCUUUUAUUUGGGAAUAAACCUCUUUACGUGUAGAGAGCUGAAAGUACCAAAUGAAUAAGCACCGGCUAACUCCGUGCCAGCCGCCGCAGUAA
rnacentral:rRNA from 1 species